rnacentral:rRNA from 1 species
AUUGAACGCUGGCGGCAUGCUUUACACAUGCAAGUCGAACGGCAGCGCGGGCUUCGGCCUGGCGGCGAGUGGCGAACGGGUGAGUAAUACAUCGGAACGUGCCCAGUAGUGGGGGAUAGCUCGGCGAAAGCCGGAUUAAUACCGCAUACGACCUGAGGGUGAAAGCGGGGGAUCUUCGGACCUCGCGCUAUUGGAGCGGCCGAUGGCAGAUUAGCUAGUUGGUGGGGUAAAGGCCUACCAAGGCGACGAUCUGUAGCUGGUCUGAGAGGACGACCAGCCACACUGGGACUGAGACACGGCCCAGACUCCUACGGGAGGCAGCAGUGGGGAAUUUUGGACAAUCGGCGAAAGCCUGAUCCAGCAAUGCCGCGUGUGUGAUGAAGGCCUUCGGGUUGUAAAGCACUUUUGGCGGGAACGAAAAGGACUGUGCCAAUACCACGGUUCGAUGACGGUACCCGCAGAAUAAGCACCGGCUAACUACGUG